CGGUUUGACUAUUCACGGCAAGACGAUUGAGAUCGGAUUUACAAUAAACAAGUUCACCUAAUCUACUCCAGGUGGCGUAUACUUGGCUAAUGCUCCCACUCUAUGGUCCGCGUUGACGUAUGUCCGCUUCGAUGGUGCUGUCGAAGCUCUAUGUUCUAUCAGCUAACCUCCAAAGUUGAAUUGUCAAACUUCGCCGGGUGGUUCCACACUUCGAUUUCCAUUUCCAUCGGUGAAGGAAAUGCCGGAAAAUAGUGGAAACAGUGCAGGACGGAAUCUUCAAAGGUGGACUUCGCAAAGCCGGCUCCGGGCACAUGUCAUGGGGGUUAACAGUUACUAAUAUCGUCCAACCAGGGUAGUUUGGAAUACUGGACAGCGUCGUUGACUCCCCCUGUGACGGUGGUGAGCUUCUCCGAGGGUGUUGGAGUCAGCAGCAGUUGGAGGUUGCAUAAAAAUGAGAGAAAAAGCAUUUAGCAUACUGAUAUCCUGGAGCAGAGGGAUAACAGGGUGUUCGGUGGAAUUUCGGAAGAAACGGUGUGUGGGAUACCACUUACCCACUGGAUGACAGUCAGACGGUCCUGUUUGAUGGCAAUAAAGCUGCACAGAACAAACAAAAACUGUACGGAACAGAAUCUUCCAACACUGGCAGACCAGGUUAGAUUUAUCGGUUAUGGUGGAAUCGCGGAAAUCUAGGUAUGUACAUUCUGGCAGUUAAUAAGGAGAUACAAGUAUAAGGCUCUAUUUCACUCACCUGAGCCCUUAUUCAGUGAAAGCAACGGUAGUACCCCAUUAUUUACCUAUUUUCGGUGAUGAAUAUUUUUAACGGUAAUAGAGGAGUGAAAUAGAGACGGACAGAACGGAUGUAUCUCAUUUAUUAUCGGUAAUCAGUACAAUAUAACGG